rnacentral:rRNA from 1 species
UACGAAGGGGGGCUAGCGUUGCUCGGAAUCACUGGGCGUAAAGGGCGCGUAGGCGGGAUGUCAAGUCGGUCGUGAAAUCCUUCGGCCCAACCCGAAGAACGUCGGCCGAUACUGCCGUUCUUGAGGGAUGCAGAGGAGACUGGAAUUCCCGGUGUAGCGGUGAAAUGUGUAGAGAUCGGGAGGAACACCGGUGGCGAAGGCGGGGUCUCUGGGGCAGUAACUGACGCUGAGGCACGAAAGCGUGGGGAGGCAA